GUGAAAUUAUUCAACGGCCGCGGUAUCCUAACCGUGCGAAGGUAGCGUAAUCACUUGUUCUUUAAAUGAGGACUAGUAUGAAUGGCACCACGAGGGUUCUACUGUCUCCUUUUUUUAAUCAGUGAAACUAAUCUCCCCGUGAAGAAGCGGGGAUCUUUAUAUAAGACGAGAAGACCCUAUGGAGCUUUAAACAACCAACAUUUGCUACACCAUAACAUUUCCCCUAAAAGAAGUAUAGCAUUAUGAUUAUUAGUUUUCGAUUGGGGUGAUCACGGAGUAAAAUAUAACCUCCAUGCCGAAAGGGUUCUUACCCUGAGCAAAAAGCCACAGCUUUAAGCACUAAAAAAUUAACGCAGUUUGACCCA
rnacentral:rRNA from 1 species